ensembl:lncRNA
CAGUACCCUUGGUUAACCACUGGAGGACUGUCCCUUGUUCACGUGAAGGCAUUGGGCGGUGUCUGCCUUCUCUUGAAAGUAGCUGUCCAGUCCUGCUUUACGUCGCACGUACUACUAUGACGGGGACGGUCGUAUGUGCUGUUAUUUAUUUGCGACACACCCCUAACGCGAUGGUGGUCUACAAAAUGAAAAAAACGGCUGGAAUGAAGACAGGAAGGUUGUGUGCUCAGGGAAAGAUUUCCAAGUACCUGUCUUCUCAAGGUCGAGGAUUGUGACAUUCACUCCCAGCUCACCCCCUGGAUCUAAGAAAGUACUGCUGGAGAAUAAUAUUGUAAAGGAUCCAAGGUAUGAAUGGACCCGUGACCAGACUCUACUGGUGAGGGAGGUCACCCACCGGGACCAGGGAGUCUAUGCUGUCAAAUUUUCCCAUGGUUUUACCGUCGAGAGAGUCGAGCUCGUUGUCUCAGGUCUGUGUGCCUUGCACGUUAAGUCGUGGAAUGUGAUUUUUGUGAGCAAAAAGGAGGACGCUAUCUUUUGUGUCCUUCUCUCUUUCUGUGUCCCUCACUUUUUGCACUUUUUUCUUGUCAUAUUUCAGAAUGCAUUAGGAAGUUCCAUAAACAAUAUGGAGACACCUUUAAACUGGACAUCCCACAGGAUGGAGCCAUUCUGGAGUUAAACCCCUUCGCCCCCCUAUCUCUCCCUCCCACAUCUUCUCCUUCCCCCUCUCCCUCUCCUUCCUCUCUGUCCCCCCCUCUAUCCCCCUCUCCCUCUCCUUCUUCCUCUCUA